rfam:Stackebrandtia nassauensis DSM 44728, complete genome.
UCCGGUCCUCGGUAGUGGCGCCCGGGUGCGGAACAUACCGCCCGUGCGCUUCGAUCGAAGACCGGC